UACGGGGGGGGGCAAGCGUUGUUCGGAAUUACUGGGCGUAAAGGGCUCGUAGGUGGCCAACUAAGUCAGACGUGAAAUCCCUCGGCUCAACCGGGGAACUGCGUGUGAUACUGGCGGGCUUGAAUUCGGGAGAGGGAUGUGGAAUUCCAGGUGUAGUGGUGAAAUGCGUAGAUAUUCGCAAGAACACCAGUGGCGAAGGCGGCUCACUGGCCCGGUACUGACGCUGAGGUGCGAAAGCGUGGGGAGCAAACAGG
rnacentral:rRNA from 1 species